rnacentral:rRNA from 1 species
UACAGAGGGGGCGAGCGUUGUUCGGAAUUACUGGGCGUAAAGGGCUCGUAGGCGGCCAACUAAGUCACACGUGAAAUCCCCAGGCUUAACCUGGGAACUGCGUGUGAUACUGGAUGGCUUGAAUUCGGGAGAGGGAUGCAGAAUUCCAGGUGUAGCGGUGAAAUGCGUAGAUAUCUGGAGGAAUACCGGUGGCGAAGGCGGCAUCCUGGACCGACAUUGACGCUGAGGAGCGAAAGCUAGGGGAGCAAACGGG